UUUAUUUGUUAUUAGAAUUGAUAAUAUGACCUGCCAACUGAAUGUGAUUUACAUUUUAAGGGCUGCAGUAUAUUGACUGUACUAAGGUAGCAUAAUUGAUUGCCUAGUAAUUUUAGGCUUGUUUGAAUGGUUGAAUUUGUGCAUGUUAGAUUUUAUUGACUGGAGAGAAAUUGGUUUUAUUAGUAAAAAAUCUUUAGUGUAUAAAAAAGACGGAAAGACCCUAAGAUUUUUAUACAGUUAAUAAAAAGUUGUAUUUAGUUGGGGAAACUGUUGAUUUUUAAUUAGUAUGUAGAUCCAAUGUUUGAUUGGAAAAUGGUGUUAAUUGCCUUAGGGGUAACAGGGUAAGAAGAAAUGUGAGGACGUAUCUAAUUUUUUGUUUGCUACCUCGAUGUUGACUUAAUUUUGGGUGAUAAAGUAGAGUUUAUUAUUUUGUGGUCUGUUCGACCUUUGGAAAUUACA
rnacentral:rRNA from 1 species